rnacentral:rRNA from 1 species
GAUGAACGCUGACAGAAUGCUUAACACAUGCAAGUCUUUGGCGAAGCUGUGCUUGCACAGCCUAGCCAAGGCGGACGGGUGAGUAACGCGUAAGGAACUUGCCCUGCAGUCAGGGAUAACAGACGGAAACGACUGAUAAGACCUGGUAAAGUCAGGCGGACUCAUGUCCAGCCUGAUGAAAAGAGAUGCUGCAGGAGAGCCUUGCGUCCUAUUAGCUUGUUGGUGGGGUAACGGCCCACCAAGGCGAUGAUAGGUAGCCGGCCUGAGAGGGUGGACGGCCACAAGGGGACUGAGAUACGGACCUUACUCCUACGGGAGGCAGCAGUGGGGAAUAUUGGACGAUGGGGGCAACCCUGAUCCAGCAAUUCGGUGUGCACGAUGAAGGUUUUCGGAUUGUAAAGUGCUUUCAGCAGGGAAGAAAAAAAUGACGGUACCUGCAGAAGAAGCGACGGCUAAAUACGUG